CCGAGUGCCGCGGCUCGUUGCGGGGCCGGGGGGACCCGCGGGCAGGCGGUCGGGGGCGGCCGCCGUCCCGAGGGGUUCACCUCGGCCCCGGCCCCGCCGCCACCCAGGACCAAAGGGCUUUCAGAUGUUUAUGUCUAGUGGCAACUCGUAUCAUAAACACUUGCUUCCAGCAUCAUGACUACACAAUCUGAGUAAGCCUGCAAUCCAGCAAGGUCGCUCAGACUUGGUGCUUCUCCACAUGCCACACAAGUAUGUUUGCAUAGGUGGAAUUUCCACUCCGCCAGCAAGCAGACUGCUACCCUGGGAAGAGAUGUCUGUUUGUCUUUGUACAGCAAACACUGGCUAUGUUGUGCAGCUCAAGUUUCUGAUUUGAACGAUUUCCUGAAUUCAUUCUGCUUCAUACCUCAGGGAAGAAAAAGUGGUUUUAUUUCUCCUGGGGAACAUUAAGAAGCAUUUCCCUGGCUGGGGAUGUGGAUUCUCCAUUCUGAGGAAAUCUGGGUCAUUGGAUGUCUCCUGCACAGAGAACACUUCGGUUGUU